GCGGCGCCUUCUGCCAGCUCCCCGAGCAGCUCCGGCAACGCUGGCAGCGGUGGCGGCGGAGGCGGUGGAGGCGG
rnacentral:miRNA from 1 species